GGAAGUGGCCUCAGCUUUGCGAUUGUUCUUGGAGCCUUUUCUUGACAGGUUUCCAAUAGAAGAUGGGAUUAAAUGAGCAGGGAAAUAAACUUGACAUUAAAAGAAAGAUUUCAUGGAGAUGAGGUUUAACCAAGUCAAAAAGCAUCCAAAAUGAGAGAACUGUGAGUCUUUUGGUUGGACAACAGACCUAGAGGAAAGUUCCCUUUGUGCUAUUGCUGCAAAGUUGGCCCUUCUCAACAUGCUUUGUGCUUAUGAGGAAUUUUCUUUCGUCUCUCAGAAGGUCUGUUUCUCAAUUUUGACAAUGUGGAUUUUCAAUUGAUAAUGUCUCAGCUGUGACAUCCCAGGAUUCCCUCAUUAACAUUGGGAAAAGUGUUAAUGCAGCAUGGAGCUCCCUCAUUGCAGCCUGGAGAACCAGUAUCUGUUGGAGAUUUCCGUUGGCUAACCUCAGCCUUAUCUUCCUCAUUUCUGUUUCCUCUUGAAGACACCAAAGGCCCUUCAAAACACACGACCUUCCUGCUCCAGGCAAAAAGCCCAGUUACCUCUGGCCCCUGCAGUUUGGCUCAUCACCAGGAAACUUUUGCCUCCUUUGAGACCAAGAGACCACUCCAGUAACAGCUCCAGGGACUGAGCCAAGGUGCCUGUGACCACCUAUAUGGGAAACUCUGGAAAACUCACCACUUUCCUAACAAUUCUGCCAGGGCCACAUCUCCCAGGAAGAUCUUGCCUCCCCACUGAAGCCCCUGGCCUGGCCUCCUGCAGUGCCACGCUCCGUGUAUUUGACAAGCUGAGUUGGACACUCCAUGUGGUAGAGUGUCAGUUUGUCAAAUACCCCAAGUGCGGCACAUGCCUAACAGCUCCAGGCCAGGGCAGUUGGGAUACAACAAAUAAACUGCCAGCUGGAUACACAAUCACUUGCCAAACAUGAACUAAUCUGUCACAAGUUAUUUUCAGUGACUCUGAGGGAGCUGAAGCAUUGUAUCUGAAGUUGCCAGGGGAAAAGUGAGGCAACUCCUGAAGCUAUAGCCCUGUAUUGUUUCUAUAUUGGCAGAGCCUGAGGGGGGCAAAUGGUCUACCCUGAAAAGUAUAUAGGGCCCAGGGAUGGAAGUGCUCUUUGAUUCAUAUUUCCUUUCUUCACAUUCCGCUACAGAGUCUACCAGUAAGGACACCAGAAUUUUCACACAAGCUUCAUGACAGGGCUUAGAAACCCACUUUCCUGAUACUCAGCCUUGACAUCGAAAUGCAUUUUGACCUUAUCUAUAUUUUUUCUUCUUCAUGUCUUUUUUCCUCUGGUUAUACUUUCUCCAUUUUUUUUCCUGCCUAUUCAAUUAUUUCUCAUACUUCUGGUCCAGCCAAAAUCUAGUGUCUCCAAAGACUUGUGAAAGUUAACUUACACUUUUUUUCUUCUUCAUUUGAACACUCCUUGCCUUGGUCCUUAUAUGUACCCCUUUCUUCUCCUAUCGCCUAAUAGCACCUCUUGAACUGUUAGUAAACUUUUCUAGGGGAUAUUUUUGAAUUCCCCACUAAAUUGUGAGGACAACACUAUGUUUCCUUGAUUGCUGUCUCUCCUUUCCAUCCCUACCCAAGCAGGCAGAUCAGUACUCUAGUUACAGAAAAUAAUAAAUGUUUACUGAUUGAUUGACUUUGUACUAGACCAUUAUCCUUGGUUUUGGAUCAAAAUGCCAUCCAGGAAUUUUGUGAAAAAAAUUAAACUGUGGUCAUCAUAAUGCUAUAGGAUAUGUGAGGGGUUUUCCUCCUGAGAAAUAGAGUCAGGGCUGGAGGAGGAAGGCAAAAAAAGUAGACUCAGAGGACAAAUAUGUUUUGGAAUUAUUUGGUAACUCAAAGUUGUAUAGGUGCUUUAUUUCAGAACUUUCAGAGUCUUUAAUAUUCUAAUGUUGCAUUGGAAAUCUCCAAUAGGGAGCUAUAGAAUGAAACAUUUCUCAUGCCUAUCUAAUCAUGGAAUUUUUUUUCUGUAGGCCAUCUCUUGGACAAAACUUGGAAAACUGUCCUAGAGGGACUUCGUAUCUUCUCUCUCUUUUGGGAAUCUUUUUCAGUCUUCCAGCUUUCCCUGACUAGCCAUCUGCUUAAAACAAUUAUAUAUUAUCAUCCCAUGUUUAUUUAGCUUACCUUGCAGGUUUGGGCUAGCCCUAUACCCAGGACUCUCUUACUGGCUUGUCUUGUAUGGAAAAAAAAAGUAUUAGUUUUUGGGCAAAGGUGAUAUCCAGAAGCUUUCUACUGCAAUGAAUAUGCUCCUAGGAGUUCACA